rnacentral:misc_RNA from 2 species
AACGCACAUUGCGCCUCUUGGUAUUCCGAGGGGCAUGUCUGUUUGAGCGUCAGUACCCACUCGCGAUCAACCGUUUUGAGCAAUCAAGCGGUCGACCGCGGUCUUGAGGAGCACUUCUCCUCUAACGUGGCACGCUUGCGAACCCCCUACCGAUCUCGACGUAGUAAACAUUCUCGUCGCUGCUAAGUUGAGGGCCGCCUGAAUCAAACUCUGUAGUUUGACCUCAGAUCAGACAAGGAUACCCGCUGAACUUAA